UACAGAGGUGCCAAGCGUUAGGCGGAAUCACUGGGCUUAAAGCGCGUGUAGGCGGGUCGUUAAGUGUCCGCGUGAAAUCCCACGGCUCAACCGUGGAACUGCCGGGCAUACUGGCGAUCUUGAGGCAUUCAGGGGCGAGCGGAACAAAUGGUGGAGCGGUGAAAUGCGUAGAUAUCAUUUGGAACGCCAAUGGUGAAAACAGCUCGCUGGGAAUGAUCUGACACUGAGACGCGAAAGCCAGGGGAGCGAACGGG
rnacentral:rRNA from 1 species